CCCAAUCCGCUCCCAAGACUUAUCGCAGAGAGAGAGAGAGUGGGAUUUAAAUUAUAUAAGCCUUGUUCCUGAAACAAUCAUAGAGACAGUGAGCGCGUUCAUACUUUUGGAAAAUCAGGGUUUUAAGCCAUUAAGAGCCUGCUUUCGAUCGCCAAAUCUAGGGUUAGGGUUUAGUUUCCUGAUUUCAACAUCUGGUGUGAAAUUGGUUUAGCGCUGUGUUUGGUUGAGCCGCAAAUUAAGAACCUCUGCCUGCAUGACUUGAAUCCGUUUAUCCGUUAAACGGACACGUAUCGAUAGGUUUCGUAUUUGAUGGACGAGAUCUGGGAGAGGGCCGUGGAGACAGCGCUUGACGGCCAAACUGACCAUGCCGCAGCACGAAUCCUGACUUUGGACGGUGCAGUGAAGUGUGCACAAGGCAGGUUGCCGCCACCAAGCUUUUUCGAGAGAUUCCAGAACCUUCAACACUUCUCCAUCGCCAGCAUCGGGGUCUCGUCGCUCGAGCAGUUCCCUCGGCUGCGGAACCUCCAGAAACUGAUUCUUUCUGACAAUCGCAUCGCCGGUGGACUUGAAUUUCUAGUUGAGGCCGGUCUAGAGUCUCUUCGAGAUUUGGACCUCUCCAAUAAUCGCAUCCAGUGUAUUGAAGAUCUCGCUCCCCUCUCGCAGUUAAGGAUCGUUUCACUCGAUCUUUAUGAAUGCCCUGUUACAAGAGUGAAGGAUUACCGAUCUAGGGUUUUCGGGUUGAUUAAAACCUUGAAAUAUUUGGACAAAUUGGAUAUGGAAGAGAAUGAAAGGCCGGAAUCGGAUGAUGAAGAUGAGGAGGAAGAGGACGAUGAAGAUGAUCCUGGCAGUGGUGAGAUUGACGGAGAAGAUGGGCCGUAUAGGAUGACUAACGGCUACAGUGACGGUGUUGAUGGGAUUGUUGACGUUGAUGAUGAUGAAGAGAGCGAUGCGGAUGAAGAGGAGACAGAGACAGCAAGACGGAGUAAUGGAGCCAGCCAUCAGGCAAAUGGAUUCCAUGUUGCAGCGGUGGACAGAGGUGAUGGGGAUGAGGAGGCGGAUGAUGAUGGGGAUUAUUCUGGGGAGGAGAUCGAUGAGGAGGGGGAUGGGGAUGACGAGGAUGUAGUUGAGGUUCAUGAAAUUGAUGACAGCGACGAUGAAGAUGGGGUUGAAGAUGAGGAAGAGGAUGAUGAGGAGGAUGAAGAGGAAGAUGUGGAUAAUGAGGAAGGUGAUUUGGGGGAACCAGGGAGUACAGGGUUGUUGACUAGCACGGAAGGGGAGAUUGAUGGACAUGAGCAAGGGGAAGAUGAUGUGUAUGAGGAUGAUAACGGGGAGACUGGAGAUGAUGAGCAGGGGGUUGACGAUGAUGGGGUUUUUGAAGAAGAAGAAGAUGGUGAAGAUGAGGAUGAAGACAAUAGUGCAGGUUACCUGGUUCAACCAGUGGGGCAGGUUCAACCAGUGGGGCAAUCUGAAGUUCAUGAUGCUGAUGGUAGUGAUAUGGAACCAGGUAAUGAAGAAGAUGUUGAGGAAGAAGAUGUUGAGGAGGAAGAUGUUGAAGAUGACGAUGAAGUGAUGGUCCCCCCGCCCCCAUCUUCCUCACAACUAAAGAGAAAGAGAGAUGAUGAGAGUGAUGAAGAUGAUACUGUUGACGACGAUGAAGAUGAAUGAUGAAUGAGUGAUGGUCCUGGCCUCAUCUUCCUCACAGCUAAAGAGAGAGAGAUGAUGAUAGAGAUGGUGGAAAUCCGAAUUCUUCCGAGAAACAUUGGUGAAUCUUUGUCAGUAAUCUUAGCGGGAGAAUUAUUCAGGCCUGGAAAAAAGGGAACUUGUUUUUAGGUAGGUUGGGGUUGGUGGUCUGCUAGUGAUUUUGGAUGAUCUUUAUGGACAAGGUGUAGUGUUGGGAGAUCAGAGCACGUGGUCGCAGAAUUGAGGAGGAUGAGGGAAUCAUCUAGUACGCUUUCGUCUGGUCUCAUGCAACGUGAGAUGGCGCCUCUUUGCCCUUUCAGAUUGAAUCCGACGGUCGAUUUCUCAUAGGCAUCUUGCCCCCUGGAUUAAUGGAUGCGAAGAUACAUUUACGCAUUUAACACACCCCUGGGCCUGGCCUUUUUGCUGGUUGAUUUAGUGAGCAAGCCCUUCAACUCGCUUGAGAACUUGGCUAGCUUAGGCUCUAUGUUGUAUUCUAAUUCUACUACGACUUGGUUUGUAGAGUUGUUUGGGCUGAAGCCCACAAGAGUGCCGAUUUGUGAAAGUGAAUCACAGUUGCUA